rnacentral:rRNA from 1 species
GAUGAACGCUGGCGGCGUGCCUAAUACAUGCAAGUCGAGCGAACGGACGAGAAGCUUGCUUCUCUGAUGUUAGCGGCGGACGGGUGAGUAACACGUGGAUACCCUACCUAUAAGACUGGGAUAACUUCGGGAAACCGGAGCUAAUACCGGAUGAUAUUUUGAACCGCAUGGUUCAAAAGUGAAAGACGGUCUUGCUGUCACUUAUAGAUGGAUCCGCGCUGCAUUAGCUAGUUGGUAAGGUAACGGCUUUCCAAGGCGAGGAGGCAUAGCCGACCGGAGAGGCGGAUAGGCCACACGGGAACUGGAACACGGUCAAGACGCCUACGGGAGGCAGCAGUAGGGAAUCUUCCGCAAUGGGCGAGAGCCUGACGGAGCAACGCGGCGCGAGUGAUGGAGGUCUUCGGAUCGUAAAACUCUGUUAUUAGGGAAGAACAGAUGUGUAAGUAACUGUGCACAGCUUGACGGUACCUAAUCAGAAAGCAACGGCUAACUACGUG